GAUGAACGCUGGCGGCGUGCUUAACACAUGCAAGUCGAACGGUGAAGGCGGAGCUUGCUCUGCUGGAUCAGUGGCGAACGGGUGAGUAACACGUGAGCAAUCUGCCCCUGACUCUGGGAUAAGCGCUGGAAACGGCGUCUAAUACUGGAUACGAGCUGCGAAGGCAUCUUCAGCAGCUGGAAAGAACUUCGGUCAGGGAUGAGCUCGCGGCCUAUCAGCUUGUUGGUGAGGUAACGGCUCACCAAGGCGUCGACGGGUAGCCGGCCUGAGAGGGUGACCGGCCACACUGGGACUGAGAGACGGCCCAGACUCCUACGGGAGGCAGCAGUGGGGAAUAUUGAACAAUGGGCGAAAGCCUGAUGCAGCAACGCCGCGUGAGGGACGACGGCCUUCGGGUUGUAAACCUCUUUUAGCAGGGAAGAAGCGAAAGUGACGGUACCUGCAGAAAAAGCGCCGGCUAACUACGUG
rnacentral:rRNA from 1 species